AGGCAGCAGUGAGGAAUAUUGGUCAAUGGGCGAGAGCCUGAACCAGCCAAGUCGCGUGAGGGAGUACUGCCCUAUGGGUUGUAAACCUCUUUUGUCGGGGAGCAAAAGCCGGACGUGUCCGUCUGUGAGAGUACCCGAAGAAAAAGCAUCGGCUAACUCCGUGCA
rnacentral:rRNA from 1 species